rnacentral:rRNA from 1 species
UGGGGAAUUUUGGACAAUGGGCGAAAGCCUGAUCCAGCAAUGCCGCGUGUGUGAAGAAGGCCUUCGGGUUGUAAAGCACUUUUGUCCGGAAAGAAAUCCUUGGCUCUAAUACAGUCGGGGGAUGACGGUACCGGAAGAAUAAGCACCGGCUAACUACGUGCCAGCAGCCGCGGUAAUACGUAGGGUGCAAGCGUUAAUCGGAAUUACUGGGCGUAAAGCGUGCGCAGGCGGUUUGCUAAGACCGAUGUGAAAUCCCCGGGCUAACCUGGGAACUGCAUUGGUGACUGGCAGGCUAGAGUAUGGCAGAGGGGGGUAGAAUUCCACGUGUAGCAGUGAAAUGCGUAGAGAUGUGGAGGAAUACCGAUGGCGAAGGCANCCCCCUGGGCCAAUACUGACGCUCAUGCACGAAAGCGUGGGGAGCAAACAGGAUUAGAUACCCUGGUAGUCCACGCCCUAAACGAUGUCAACUAGUUGUUGGGGAUUCAUUUCCUUAGUAACGUACUAACGCGUGAAGUUGACCGCCUGGGGAGUACGGUCGCAAAGAUUAAAAACUUUAAAGGAAUUGACGGGGUCAUAGCU